rnacentral:lncRNA from 1 species
GCUUGGUCUUCUUGUGGCCUAUUUAGAGAUGCACUGAGCCCACAGGAACACAACACUGUACAGGUGGAGCACCUCAGGAGGCUCCCCCCUCACACAGGCAGCCUUUGAAGAUGAUUUUGGAGUAAAGUCUGAAUAGAUACGGAGAGACGGUGGCGAUCCGGAGCGCUCUGCUUUUCCAUUUCAUCCCAGGUGAAUCCGUGGGUUAAUAAGCGGUGGCGAAUCGAUAAUCCAAUCGAAGGUGGUCAAGUAAAACAAGAUCUGCUCCAGUUGGGAUGCAGCUGAGGUCGCCAGCCUUUUAACGGAGGAGGCCCAGUCCAGGAAGCAAAGCCUCAGGCUCAGCCAUGUCAGAGAAGAUGGUGCUGGAGGAAGGAGAGAGGGGAGAUGCGAGAGGAGAGAGGAGCUAAGGUUAUCUCUGUCACUUCAUUUCCAAGAUGGCGUAGCAGUCAGACAUCUUUGUCUUUGUCCUGUUGUGUCCCUUGUAUAUAUCUUUUUUUAGCCUACCUGGUUAAAUAAAGGUGAAAUAAAAAACUGUCACGAUCGUCAUAAGAACUGGACCAAGGCGCAGCGUACGUAGCGUUCCACAUCUUUAUUAUAAAGAGAAACUUCAGCAAAUACAAAACAACAAACGAACAAACGAAACGUGAAGCAAGUGAAGUGCUCACAGGCAACUACACAAAAACCAAAACAAGAUCCCACAAAACACAUUAGGGAAAUGGCUGCCUAAAUAUGAUCCCCAAUCAGAGACAACGAUAAACAGCUGCCUCUGAUUGGGAACCAUACCAGGCCAACAUAGAAAUAGAACAACCUAGAUUACCCACCCUAGUCACACCCCGACCAAACCAACAUAGAGAAUAAAAGGCUCUCUAUGGUCAGGGCGUGACAGUACCGCCCCAAAGGUGCGGACUCCGGCCGCAAAACCUGACUCAAUAGGGGAGGGUCCGGGUGGGCAUCUAGCGUUGGUGGCGGCUCCGGUGCAGGUCGUAACCCCCGCCCAGACCCCG